rnacentral:rRNA from 1 species
ACACCGCUAUUGGUCACCAACGUUUACGCCCCAACGUCCAGGAAUGAAAAGACGGAUUUUCUUGCUGAAUUGGUGCGUAUAGAUCCUCCUGAUGAACAACCCUGGCUCAUUUUAGGGGAUUUUAACCUCAUUCGUUCCCCCCACGAAAAAAACAACGGUAACUUCCACGCACGGGAAGCUGCGGCUUUCAACGACACCAUUAACACCUUGGCUCUUACUGAGCUGCCCCUUCUCGAUCGACAAUUCACCUGGACGAACAACCGUGAUAAUCCAGUCCUCAAACGCCUUGACCGUGCCUUUGUCAACAUUGCUUGGAAUGCUGCCUUCCUAACUCACACUUGUCAUCCCUGCCACGACUUACCUCCGAUCACAUGCCCUUGA